UACGGAGGGGGCUAGCGUUGUUCGGAAUUACUGGGCGUAAAGCGCACGUAGGCGGUUUGGUAAGUUAGAGGUGAAAGCCUGGAGCUCAACUCCAGAAUUGCCUUUAAGACUGCCGAGCUAGCAGGUGAGAGAGGUGAGUGGAAUUCCGAGUGUAGAGGUGAAAUUCGUAGAUAUUCGGAAGAACACCAGUGGCGAAGGCGGCUCACUGGCUCAUACUGGACGCUGAGGUGCGAAAGCGUGGGGAGCAAACAGG
rnacentral:rRNA from 1 species